rnacentral:rRNA from 1 species
UACGUAGGGUGCAAGCGUUAAUCGGAAUUACUGGGCGUAAAGCGUGCGCAGGCGGCUAUGCAAGACAGAUGUGGAAAUCCCCCGGGCUCAACCUGGGAACUGCAUUUGUGACUGCAUGGCUAGAGUACGGUAGAGGGGGGGAUGGAAUUCCGCGUGUAGCAGUGAAAUGCGUAGAUAUGCGGAGGAACACCGAUGGCGAAGGCAAUCCCCUGGACCUGUACUGACGCUCAUGCACGAAAGCGUGGGGAGCAAACGAGG